rnacentral:rRNA from 1 species
UUAAGAAGGUGUGCCCUCGGUAGGUGAAGUCGUACAGAUGGAGCCGAAGAGGGUUGCAGAGAAACGGCGGUAGCGACUGUUUACCAAAAACACAGGACUCUGCGAAGGCGAGAAGCCGACGUAUAGGGUCUGACUCCUGCCCGGUGCUGGAAGGUUAAGGGGAUUCGUCAGCCGCAAGGUGAAGCGAUGAUCCGAAGCCCCAGUAAACGGCGGCCGUAACGAUAACGGUCCUAAGGUAGCGAAAUUCCUUGUCGGGUAAGUUCCGACCUGCACGAAUGGAGUAACGACUUCCGCGCUGUCUCGGAGAGGGACUCAGCGAAAUUGAAAUAGCUGUGCCGAUGCAGUUUACCCGCAGCAAGACGGAAAGACCCCGUGAACCUUUACUAUAACUUGACAGUGACACUAGGGAUUGACUGUGUAGAAUAGGUGGGAGCCUUUGAGACCGGGCCGCUAGGUUCGGUGGAGGCACAAGUGAAAUACCACCCUGUUGAUUUCUGGUGUCUAACCGCGUCCCAUCAUCUGGGAUCGGAACACUGUCUGGUGGGUAGUUUGACUGGGGCGGUCGCCUCCCAAAACGUAACGGAGGCGCGCGAUGGUUCCCUCAGCCCGAUUGGAAGCCGGGCGUCGAGUGCAAUGGCAUAAGGGAGCUUAACUGCGAGACUGACAGGUCGAGCAGGUGCGAAAGCAGGUCAUAGUGAUCCGGUGGUUCUGAAUGGAAGGGCCAUCGCUCAACGGAUAAAAGGUACUCCGGGGAUAACAGGCUUAUCUCCCCCAAGAGUUCAUAUCGACGGGGAGGUUUGGCACCUCGAUGUCGGCUCAUCGCAUCCUGGGGCUGGAGCAGGUCCCAAGGGUUUGGCUGUUCGCCAAUUAAAGCGGUACGCGAGCUGGGUUCAAAACGUCGUGAGACAGUUUGGUCCCUAUCUGCUGUGGGCGUAGGAUACUUGAGAGGAUCUGUCCUUAGUACGAGAGGACCGGGAUGGAGACACCUCUGGUGUACCAGUUGUCACGCCAGUGGCAUCGCUGGGUAGCCAUGUGUCGAUUGGAUAACCGCUGAAAGCAUCUAAGCGGGAAACCGACCUCAAGAACGGGUAUCCCGGGCGUAAGCCCCUGAAGACCCGUCGAAGACUACGACGUUGAUAGGUCAGGUGUGUAAGCGUGGUAACACGUUAAGCUAACUGAUACUAAUUGGUCGUGAGGCUUGCC